rnacentral:tRNA from 1 species
GGUUUGUGGCUCAGUGGUUGAGUGCACACCUAGCACAUGAGAGGCCCUGGGUUCGAUCCUCAGCACCA